GAUGAACGCUGGCGGCGUGCCUAAUACAUGCAAGUCGAGCGAACAGACGAGGAGCUUGCUCCUCUGACGUUAGCGGCGGACGGGUGAGUAACACGUGGAUAACCUACCUAAAAGACUGGGAUAACUUCGGGAAACCGGAGCUAAUACCGGAUAAUAUAUUGAACCGCAUGGUUCAAUAGUGAAAGACGGUUUUGCUGUCACUUAUAGAUGGAUCCGCGCCGCAUUAGCUAGUUGGUAAGGUAACGGCUUACCAAGGCAACGAUGCGUAGCCGACCUGAGAGGGUGAUCGGCCACACUGGAACUGAGACACGGUCCAGACUCCUACGGGAGGCAGCAGUAGGGAAUCUUCCGCAAUGGGCGAAAGCCUGACGGAGCAACGCCGCGUGAGUGAUGAAGGUCUUCGGAUCGUAAAACUCUGUUAUUAGGGAAGAACAAAUGUGUAAGUAACUAUGCACGUCUUGACGGUACCUAAUCAGAAAGCCACGGCUAACUACGUG
rnacentral:rRNA from 1 species